AGGCACAUUAUGUUGCGUGGACUCACUCUGUAUGCAAUAACAGUGACUACCGAAUUCUGUAACCCACACAGAUUCAAGACCAGGGAGGUUUUCCAAUGCAUUGCAAAGGACACGUAUUGAAUCAGUGAACAUAAGUUCAAUCAUUAGAAACGACAUGGACGAGACAGCCUACAGGGAGGAGGUGAGGGCUCUCGGAGUGAUGUCAGGAGAAUAACCUCAGACUCAACAUCAACAAAACAAAGGAGAUGAUCGUGGACUUCAGGAAACAGAGGGAGCACCCCCCUAUCCACAUCGAUGGGACAGCAGUGGACAAGGUGGAAAGUUUUAAGUUCCUCGGCGUACAUAUCACUGACAGACUGAAAUCGUCCACCCAUACAGAUAGUGUUGUGAAGAAGGCGCGACAGCGCCUCUUCCAACCUCAGGAGGCUGAAGAAAUUUGGCUUGUCACCUAAAACCCUCACAAACUUUUACAGAUGCACAAUUGAGAGCAUCCUUUCGGGCUGUAUCACCACCUGGUUCAGCAACUGCACUACCCACCACCACAGGGCUUCCAGAGGGUGAUACGGUCUGCACAACCCAUCACUGGGGGAGGUGGAUAUGAAUAAUACUCUGAGCAAAAGAGAAUGUUUUGGGAUUUUCACCCUCCAGAAAUGAUUCCUGAAAGGUCUUAAUGGUGAAAUGACCAUGCAUGUUAUGUUGUAAAUGUGAACAUGAAUUAAUGCCAUCACUUCAGAUUACUCUGACAUUUUUUCUUGCAUUGUACCAAAUGAUUUAUGAAAACUUACUUGUCCUCAUUGUGGUUUUAUAGGCUUGUAUAAUAUGUUUUAUGUACAGACUUUAUUAGAAUAAUUAUGAAAUGCACAUUGUUAUAUUUUGUAACACUUGCUUAUUUUCCCUCGACUCCAACCCCAUUUUAUGCAUUGGACCGAUGUGGAUGGAGCAAUGUCUACAUAAGGGUACAAAUUGUAAACACUCACAAAAGCUCUGAUGAAGGCCUUGAGGCCGAUACGUAAAGCUUAAUUAAUAAAGAGCAGUGAUACUAGCAA